CGGGAAUUUUGGGCAAUGGGCGAAAGCCUGACCCAGCAACGCCGCGUGAGGGAUGAAGUAUUUCGGUAUGUAAACCUCGAAAGAAUGGGAAGAAUAAAUGACGGUACCAUUUAUAAGCUCCGGUUAACUACGUGCCAGCAGCCGCGGUAAUACGUAGGGAGCAAGCGUUGUUCGGAUUUACUGGGCGUAAAGGGCGCGUAGGCGGCGCGGUAAGUCACUUGUGAAAUCUCUGAGCUUAACUCAGAACGGCCAAGUGAUACUGCUGUGCUAGAGUGCGGAAGAGGCAACCGGAAUUCUUGGUGUAGCGGUGAAAUGCGUAGAUAUCAAGAGGAACACCUGAGGCGAAGGCGGGCUGCUGGGCCGACACUGACGCUGAUGCGCGAAAGCCAGGGGAGCAAACG
rnacentral:rRNA from 1 species